rnacentral:misc_RNA from 1 species
ACAUCCAACAAUCAGCUGAAGAGCAGAAACUCAGUGAUGGCAAACGGGUCGAUCCUUCUGCCUGUGUGUCACGCAACGAAUUGAAGCAACAAAUUUAACUGCAGCUUUUCCUGCGUUCUCUUAUGACUACCUCGAGACGUGCAUCAUCGUCGCCACGCGUGAUGACGCCAUGGCGAUCAGCCUGAGGCGCGUCACUGUUGCCGUGCUCGCAAUUUACAUCGUGCUGACCUGUUACACUGCCUACGUGCUGAUUUCCAAGAACUACAGCUCUAAGCCGAAAGAGAGUGGACGGAAAGGCCCGUCCCGUUUGUCAGGAUCCAAAGAAGGAGCCGAAUGGAAUCCGUGGGGAGAAGAGCUUAGCCGAAGCAACUCGUCACGUCUGGCCCACACGAUUGAGAUAUGGGGCAAGGCAGCCAUAGGCUUGUAUCUAUGGGAGCACAUCUUCAAUGGCAAAUUGGAACCAAAGGGAGAUGGAUCCUGGAGCUAUGGCUUCAGAAAGGUCGGCAACCUGAAGUUCAAGUUUAGGACUGGCCCGUGGAUUGUGCCAACGACAGUGCCCCAGGACGUGACGCACGUCGUCCUGGUGCUCAAUGGACGGGAGCCAACCAAGGUAACAGCUGCCCGGGCAUGGCUGGAUGCACUGCCCAGCUUCCGUCGACUCAAGGGAGUCGCCGUGGUCCUGCUGGGAGACGAGGCGUGCUCUGCAAACACUUGGCUGCUGCCGUACCUCAAGUCACAUGGUGGCAGGGUGUCGGCUGCAUUCAUCGUCUACGACACGCCACUGGUGGACGACGUGGAGGUAUUCCAGUGGCCCCUGGGUGUUGCCACGUACCGUGGCUUUCCCAAGGCCCCCAGCACACUCCUGGCAUCCGAGGGUCAACGCCCUUAUCCAUGCAACUUUGUGGGCACCGUCUAUCCAGGAUCGUCACGUGAAGAGCUGUUGCGUGUCCUGGGUGACCGUGGUGCCCCCUGCUACCUAAACACCCGCAAUGAGUGGCGGCCGCUGGAAACCAAGGAGUCUCUUGAGUCGUAUCUCUUGGCUCUCAAGCUGAGUGACGUCACACUGAACCCGGCAGGCAAGAACCCCGAAUGCUACCGCAUUUACGAGGCGCUAGAGUUUGGCUCGCUGCCCGUGCUGGAGGACCGGACGGUGUCGCCCGGUUGCGCUCGCGCAGACGACGCCAACGGAACCUUUCGUCUACUCAAGAAGCACAAGGCACCACUCGUGUUUGUUAAAAACUGGACGCUGGAAUUGAUGCCCAUUCUGGAGAAAGAGAUCGGCAUGAAACCCCAGGAGCGGGUGGACAGAAGGCAGGCCAUAGUGUCCUGGUAUUCAUCUUUCAAGCGUGCCAUGAGAGACAGGUUCGUGCGUGUGCUGACAGACAAGUUCUUCGGCGAGGAGAUCAAGGACACAUGACGAACGUUGAUGAUGCGCAGCAUCUACGACGCACUUAGGACAAUGGUUUUAUCCUGGUGAUGCACGUGAUGGCGUGUGAAAUGAUGCAUAGCAUCAUACACAGCCCGAGGUCUGCAGCUUCGUCAUGGUAACGGACGUUGCAAUAGAUCAGACUGCAACGGUGAUGGAGUACAGUGCCAAGCAUGACUCUGUGUUCAGCACGGCGCUACGUGUUCAGUUUUUCAGUGAGAACUCAGCAUUGCAGCUGUCAUCUCAGUGCCAAGACACGAAAUACAUCCGCAGACCGUCAUUACAUCUGCCUAAAGCUUUUGCCAUAAGUCGUGCAUGUCUUCCAUGACAAAGAAUUCAGUGUAUGUGCACAGCUCCGGUGAAAGUGUCGACAAAGUGAUCCAAGUACAAGUUGUCUGUGGAAAUCAUAAAGUGUGGGGAAGCUUCGCUUCGUAGGAGAAAGUGAUGAUUGUUCGCCCCAUGCUACAUGGUUACAUGGGCUGGAAAAGGUGUUCUUUACUCAAAAAACUAGCCUGAGAAGUUAGUGUGUAUUUAACGAGAAUACAUGUAGACACCAUGCUUGAGGAUGUGACAACAUUAAUUUUUAAUGUGUAAGCAUUUCUAUGCCGACUCAACAAGAAAUCUUUGUGUCUGUCCCUCUGUCACAUAAGACAAAUGGCUACAGUAAAAGCUUGUUUAUUCGAACUUGAAGGGGACUAUAAAAUUGUAGUAAUUAAAAGGAGUUUGAGUUAGCCGGUGGCUGCUACAAUGAAUGGACAUCACGCCACACUGAGUGGGCAGAACCCAAAGAAGCCACCUCUGGACUCAUCGCAAAUUAGGAACUACUACACAUUUGUGGCAGGUGAUUUCAUGGAGCUCUAACAGCAAAGAGAAUUAAUUGGUCAGCCAGUGAUACACCAGAAACAAGCGCAGACAUGCAUUCAUGCAAGCAGUUAGCCUUAAUGUCAAAAUAUGUAAUGCUAUUUAUGCUCCCAAAACACGUUUAUUUACAUGGCAGAGUUAACGCAAUCAAAAUGAAAAGUAAUCAGUAAUCUGUAUUUGCUUGCGUUCUGUCGCGACUCCAUGAGCAUCGCUUGCAGCUUGCCCAAGAGCUCCAGCGCAGCGUCCGAAUUCUUAUCUGCUGAGAAAUGCUGCUGUUUCCUUGUUUUGAAUCUCUAGUAAAUUUUGCUUGGUUUGGUUUUGCAACACAUUGUGAUCACUCGGCCGAAUUCUGCGAGGAUCAAUGAAAGCUAGGGGCUCCCAGUUCAAAUUAAUCGUUGUGGAUACUGACAGGUUCAAAUUAUCGGGAGUUUGUCCCCAUAGAAAUACACAGGGCUGUGCUGGGAGCAGGGUGGCAGUUCGAAUUAACCGAUUUCAAAUUAACGAGCAUUUACUGUAUAGUAAAGAAGUCAUUGUACAAAGUAAAGCUUUUUGGCAGUGCUGGGUUUUGAAGCCAAGGCCCCAUGCUCUGAAGGCGAGUGUCUUACUCGUUGGGCUCAAUACCCAUGCUCGCAGAAUGUCAGUAUAUCAGAAGUGUAUGAAUUCAUAGUACUGACAACGCAGAACAAAUGUAAAGGGUGUGGGAGACAGCCACGUCUCUGCAGUCUCAGCCUGAAGCCACGUCCAGCUGAGGCCCAGCUGUGGCACACGUGCCACACAGAAUGUGUGCACGUUGUCCUCUCAUCUUUUUUUUUUCUACAGCGUUUCUCAGGCAGCCAUCUCCACUCUGCCCCUCCCUCUUUGGAGAUGAUGGCACUGGCCUGUGGCAGCCUCCUGCAUCCGCACCCCCAAUGGCAGCGAAACCUUGGGAGUUGGUGCACUGAGUGAGGAUUCAGCGAGGCACGCAACAUUCAAGACACCAACGUCUUGCAAGAGUUGGCAGCUUCUAAACCUAGCAGGCUUCUCGGAUAUACGUGGCAAAGAUGUGACAGACCUGGUAGUGCAGCUUCCGGCUUGAGCUCUUUGAGGCACCUGUGCAUCCGAAAAUGUCGGAGGAGGCAGCAGCAGAAGACGCUGCUGCUGCUGAUUCAUUGAUAUCCUCGAUCGUGCAGUCAAGAAUGGCACCAUUGUUUUCAUCAUGACAUGCUAUUCGUGCUUGUCAUUCGUUUGGGUUGCAAAUCUAGCAGAGCUUGUGCAUUGAUAGCUGAAUCUGGUUUCUUCUAUCAUCACCUUCUUGAGCUGGGACAUCCUCGCUGACACAGGCAGUUCAAUAUUGUCGCAGGAAUGUGCAUUGAACAUGUCACAGAAUCAUCCUCUUCCUCCUCCAUUUCUAUGUCUUCCUGCUCUCACUUCCUCCGCAGUGCUGACACUGCAUCCUGGACUGUCCCAUUUCUCACCGGCAAGCUUCCAUUUCUUGGGCUUGCUCUUUCAGUCUGUCUCGUCCUCCAUGCCCGACUCUUUGUCACUGCUAUCUGUGUCUUUUGUGUCAGCAUCCUUGUUCUCUGUGUUUUUGUUAGUGUCCUCGAUUCUGGCGAGCACAAUAACAAAGAUGUCCCUGUGAUGAGCGGUCUUGCAGUGUUUCUCUCAUGUUUGUUGAGUAAGCCUGGGCACCCUCCAGAUGCACCCGUUGUAAUCUGCCAGCCACUUCAGCUGUUCCCAGUUGUCAUAGUUGCUGUUGCAUUUGGCGGUCAUGUCAGUCGCUUGAGAUGCACACCACUCCUGGUGCCUUCCAGCAGGCCUGGAUGUGUUCUGGGUCGCCUGGAGGAUGCAGCCGAAAUGGUGGCCCUCAAAUGCAAGGGAUCGUCCAUUGCCCUGUAUUGCUCACCAGCUCUACUGGCAAGGAUUUUCACACAGCCAGACAGCGCUUAUUCACAAGCAACAGAACAUGCAACGUGGCCUCCUCCAUGAACGCUGUCUUUCCCGGAAAGCAGCCCGGGCACCACGUUGGAGGCGUCAGUGUGGGAGACUGUCGCAUCUCCCACACUGGUGCUCUAUCAGUAAGGCAUCCUUUGCAGGUGCCUCCUCUUGACGUCCUGAUGCGGCUUCUAGUGCCACCACUGAACUUAUGCAGAAGCGUCUGGCCUACCUUCCCUUAUACUGCACACCUGAAGUGGCUAGCCAGCCUUAGUGCAGUGACAUGCCUCUGAGUAGGUGGCUGCUACCUCUCGCUGCCUGCUAGGUGCACGUUCCUCAGCGAGGUCACAGAGGGGCAACCCGGUGUUCAUCUGAACCCUUGGGCCUGCAGGAUCGUGGAAAACCUUGAAACGUUUAGGGCCCUUAGGUGCCUGUUAUUCCUCACACUCGGAGCUGCACAACCUGGCCUGUUGCAUCUUUGCCAGGUACAUCUGAGAAGCCUGCUAGAUUUAGGAGCCGUGGGCUCCUCAAAGAUCUUGGCAUCUCACACGUUGUCUGCACCCUAAAUCCUCACUUGGUGCACCAGUUCCUAAGGCUUCAAUGCUGGCCACUGCGGGCCUGUACCAUUGCCUCUGCAGAGGGAGGGGCAGUGUGGGGAUGGCUGUCAGAGGAACACUGAGGUGGAGAAUAGAAAAAAACACAGCAUAUCCACAGGGUGAAUGAUGAUGAGUGGGGCGAAGCUCCGGAGGGAAUCAUCGGUAA